GACGAACGCUAGCGGCGUGCCUAAGGUAUGCAAGUCGAACGGAACCUUCGGGUUCAGUGGCGAACGGUCGAGUAACACGUAGUCAACCUGCCCCUCAGUGGGGGAUAACAGCGGGAAACUGCUGCUAAUACCGCAUGUCGGCAAGAGAGGGCAUUCUCUCUUCGCUAAAGGCGCAAGCCGCUGAGGGAUGGGACUGCGGC
rnacentral:rRNA from 1 species